CUUCAGAGGAGGCUCUUCUGAGGCUGCUCCCAGUUGUCAAAGCCUCCAACAAAGCUCUACUGGGUGGCUGUAACCUCUCAAACAGACAUUGUAAAGCUCUGUCCUCACUGCUCAACUCCCAGUCCUCUACUCUAAAAGAGCUGGACCUGAGUAACAAUGACCUUGAGGAUUCAGGAGUAAAGCUUUUCUCUGCAGGUUUGGAAAGUCCUCAUUGUAGACUGGAAAUUCUCAGUCUCUCAGGCUGUCUGAUCACAGAGGAAGGCUGUACUUCUCUGGCCUCAGUUCUGAGCUCCAAACCCUCCCAUCUGAGAGAGCUGGACCUGAGCUACAAUCAUCCAGGACCAUCAGGACUGCAUCUGUUGUUGGCUGGACUGAAGGAUCCAGGCUGGAGACUGGACACUCUCAGCUGUGAUGAGUCACGCCAUUCAACAAACUGCUGAAGAGUUGGAGAAAGAAUGUGAGCAGUGGAAAAUGAAUAUGGAGGCAGCCUAAAGAAAAAUAAGCGACUUGAGAGAGAGGGAGAGAAACAAUGCAGUGUGAGCACCUCUGUAAAAGCAGAUGGUUUGGCAGUCUUCCAGACAAUGCUACAGGAGUGGACAAUCCAGAUUAAUACGGAGGUCAGAUCAUGCAAUCUGCAGAGAAAGCGCAAAAACCCCCCCAAAUAUAGCUUAUUGAAGAGUUCCCAGGAGAGUCUAUUUUAUAAAGAGAACAUGGCAGCAUUGCUUAGGUUUGCAAAGCUGCAUCUGAACAAACCCACAAGACUUCUGGAACCAUUUCCUUUGGGCAGGGUGGAGCCUGCUGGAAUCCAAUGGUUGAGACCAGGAGGUCUGAGGAAGUAUUCCUGUCAACUCAAAAUCAACACAAACACAGUAAAUAGAAAACUCAAGCUGUCUGACAAGAAUAGGAAGGUGACACGUGUGGAGGAGCUUCAGUCAUAUCCUGAUCAUCCAGACAGAUUUGAUUAUUAUCAUCAGCUGCUGUGUAGAAAUGGUCUGACUGGUCGCUGUUACUGGGAGGUCGGGUGCAGAGGAAGAGUUUAUAUAUCAGUGAGUUACAGAAGCAUCGGAAGGAAAGGAGACAGUAAUGACUGUGUGUUUGGAGAAAAUAAUCAGUCCUGGAGUCUGAGCUUCUGUGGUGGUUCUGUUUCUGCAAGACACAAUAACAAAGAAAUAUUAUCCUUCUCCUCCUCCUCCUCCUCCUCCUCUGUCUCUAACAAAGUAGCAGUGUAUGUGGACUGUCCUGCUGGCACUCUGUCCUUCUACAGAGUCUCCUCUGACACUCUGAUCCACCUCCACACCUUCAACACCGCAUUCACUGAAACGAUUUAUCCUGGGUUUGGACUCUGGUCAGGUUCCUCAGUGUCCCUGUGCUGAGUUGAUUGUAAAGAGUGUCUCCUGUUAGAGAAACACUCUGACUGUUGAACAGAUAGUUCAGUCUGUACAUGUCUGUCUCUUUCACUCAGAAACACGUUUUC